UACGUAGGGCGCAAGCGUUGUCCGGAAUUAUUGGGCGUAAAGAGCUCGUAGGCGGCUUGUCACGUCGGGUGUGAAAGCCCGGGGCUUAACCCCGGGUCUGCAUUCGAUACGGGCUGACUAGAGUGUGGUAGGGGAGAUCGGAAUUCCUGGUGUAGCGGUGAAAUGCGCAGAUAUCAGGAGGAACACCGGUGGCGAAGGCGGAUCUCUGGGCCAUUACUGACGCUGAGGUGCGAAAGCGUGGGGAGCAAACAGG
rnacentral:rRNA from 1 species